GCUUACGGCCACACCUCCCUGAGCCCGCCCGAUCUCGUCUGAUCUCGGAAGCUAAGCAGGGGCGGGCCCGGGGGGGUUAGUACUUGGAUGGGAGACCGCCGGGACAUACCAGGUGCUGUAAGCC
rnacentral:rRNA from 1 species